UCUUGAUAUCUAUUUAUAGAAUAAAUGCCCCUCUUUAAAUUGCCCCGCCCCCACCCGGGGAAGAAUCAUGCGCGUGCGCAGUUACACCAUGCCCCCAAUAAAGAUGGCGGUGGUUACCGGGACUUAUUAUCGCCUCAGGCCUGCAUCGUUCUCCCGUUUUCUGCAAACGCGGGACCAUAAAAUAUCUUGAAAUCAAAUCUGCACCUCGACUGGAUCACUGCUUAAUGUUCUCUGUCCACUACACGUCCAAUUUUGGUGUCAUCUGCAAGAACAUAGAACAAUACAGCGCAGAACAGGCCCUUUGACCCUCGAUGUUAGGUCGACAUCCUUCCUAUAGCAAGUAGACCAAAUUCGAUUGCAGCAUUCCAAAAGCAGCCUAACCAACAUCCUAUAUGGCUGCUUAGUGACCUCUCAACUUCUACACUCCAUGCACUGACCAAUAAAGGCAAGCAUACCAAA